AGGACUGAAGUCCACAAAAUUCUCAAGAGUCAAACUGCCAAACAUGGUCACUCAUCCAAGGACUCUCCCUGCUCAACAUUGCUCAACUUCAACUGCUUUGUGACCUGAGCUCUAUGCACAGGACCACACACCACCAUUAAACUGGAUGUUUUCUGACAAGAAGUCAUGGUGAGAUGGGGGUGAUGCCAGAAAUUGGCAAGGCUGUUGAAGAGAUGGACUGGAGCCUCCCAACAGAUGUUCAAGCAGAAGCUAUCCCUAUGGUAUUGGGAGGAGGAGAUGUGUUGAUGGUA